rnacentral:rRNA from 1 species
AGAAAGGCCGGGCAAGACCGGUGCCAGCCGCCGCGGUAAUACCGGCGGCUCGAGUGGUGGCCGCUAUUACUGGGCUUAAAGGGUCCGUAGCUUGAUAACUGGGUCCCUUGAGAAAUCCGCCAGCUUAACUGGCGGGCGUUCAGGGGAAACUUGUUUUCUAGGGACCGGGAGAGGUGAGGGGUACUGCCGGGGUAGGAGUGAAAUCCUGUAAUCCCGGUGGGACCACCUAUGGCGAAGGCAUCUCACCAGAACGGGUCCGACAGUGAGGGACGAAAGCUGGGGGAGCAAACCGGAUUAGAUACCCGGGUAGUCCCAGCCGUAAACGAUGCACGUUAGGUGUAUCGAUGACCACGAGUCAUCGAGGUGCCGAAGGGAAACCGUGAAACGUGCCGCCUGGGAAGUACGGUCGCAAGGCUGAAACUUAAAGGAAUUGGCGGGGGAGCACCACAACAGGUGGAGCCUGCGGUUUAAUCGGACUCAACGCCGGAAAUCUCACCGGAUAAGACAGCUGAAUGAUAGCCGGGCUGAAGACUCUGCUUGACUAGCUGAGAAGAGG